UGAUCAUGUUCUCUGGUGUCCUAGCAACCAGAAACUCUGAUCUGCACUCUAGCCAGGACAGAGGCCAUUCCUCCCUGACUUCUAGGACUUGCAGCCUCCCCAAGCCUCUGAAGACCUGUCCAUGCAGCUAUUUAGGAGCACUGACGCCAUCACUUUUUCCCAAGAACCUCAGCCCCUCUGACCCACCACCUGGCAAGAUGAGCUUCUCGCUCACAUUCACUGAGCUGGUCAAUGUUGCCAUACCACAGUAUGGGAUGGUGAACUUCAAGGCCCUACAUCUUCUGCACCAGGGCAUCCUGGAGCACAUCCACAUGGCUGAUCUCAAGAAGGUCCUGUCAGGGGAUGAGGACUUCCUCCAGUCCUCACAGGUGAUGCUCAUCCCAGGGAAGGAGAUGCCCAGCCCAUCCUUAGCCCCAUGAAGCGGCUCAGCAACAUCUUUGACCAUGUGGUGAACCGUAUUGACAAGAUAGAGAACGAGCUGGCCACACUGCAGGACCUGCCCUCUACCACCCAGCUGCUGGAGGGAAGCCAGGGGACUGGCCAGCCCAUUGAGGACCUGUGGCAUCUGAUCAAGCUGAGGAAGAUGGUGGAGGGCAAUGAAGAAGCCAUGACAAAAUCCAUACAGACCCUGCAGGAUUUGCUCACUGAUCUUUAUGCACUCAAGGUCAAAAUUGAAGACCUCAGGAAGGAUGUGGACAUGCUGAAGGAUAUGUUUGAAAAGGUACACCUGGAAAGACUGGAUCUCUUCUCUGAAGACUUGAAAACUCAGAACCGGCAGAUGAUGGUACUGAAGCGUGAAGUGAUGUCUCUCCAAAAAAUGAUUCACACCAUCCCCAGAUCUGAUGACAUGGUGCUCUGGAGUGGCCUCUAUGAGGCCAUGUUCACCCCAGUGAGUGGAGGAGGAGGAGCCGGGGCAGGAAGGUGGGCCGGCCGGCCCCAUCAGCCCAUUUUUCCUCAGGGCACUGCUUCACUAGAGCUGGAGCCGUCCAACAUGUGGCAGACCAUGGAGCCACCUCCACAGACUGCCUUUACCCAGACCCAGAACCUUGAAGAGAUUGUUCAUACCCAUGUUGCAGAGCCUAUCCAAGGUCCUAGGCUCCUACAGACUGCCUGGCACUCUGACAUCCAAGCACCCCUACCAGACCAGGAAUCUGUCCAGGCAUUUCCAUCUGGCAGUGCCAAGGGGCCAGGGAAGCCUCAGGCCCUCAUCACUGGGCCUGGGCCUGCAGCCAGACCUGCAACUAUGCUGGGACCAGAGUCCCAGGCCAUGGCUACAGUAGGGCCCCAUGUGACACAUGGGUUCACGCCAGCACCUUUGCCUGCCUUUGGACCUGAGACUGGCCCUUCUCUUUUCUGGGUGGAAGGUUUACUCCAGCCUGGCACAAGUCCAUCAGACUCCCUGCAGUCCCCUCAAAACCACCCCUCCAAGGCACCGCCCCUAGCUCGGGAGUUUGGAUCAGCAUGCCCUCUUUCACUGCAACCUUAUCAGCCUCGCAAGGCAGAGGCCCAUCAGCUCCCAGUGGUCGAAGAAAAGGAAGAAAAAUAUUUUACCCACUAUGUGAGACACACUCAGGAGGGAUCCUCCAAGACUGGAGUGCCCAAAGAGAAGGCCUUCCAGUGUGGGGUCCCCAAGGAUGGAGCCCUCAGGGACAGGGCCCCAGAAGCACAACCUAAGGGCUCCAAGCCUGCCCUGUAUCGGCUGAGAACCACCAUUGCCAACGCUGCCACUGCAGCCGCUGCCUAUGCAGCUGCCACAACCUCAGCAGCCUGGACAGCCAGGGCCGCAGCAAAGGCGUUAGAGGAUGUUCCUGCCACCAAAAUGGCCACCGAGGCAGCAACCAUGGCAGCAUCUGGGCCCUUAGGGGUCUUUGCAGAUGUCCUAGGUGGAGGGUUUUCCCGUGGAGCCCUAGACUCCACAACCCUUGGCACUGAUGGUGAGAAGCAGGAAGACUUGAUGACAGACUAUGAAACAUUCUCUCCCCCAUCUACCCUGGGCCUCAACAUUCAUGAAUCAGCACUGUCCCAGGCUAUGCUGUAUGCCACACAAGCCAUAAGCCCUGAAGACAAGAAGAAAGCCGUCAAGUACUCCAUGAGCCACAUAGCCCAAAUGCCUGUUAGACAUGACAAUUUGAAGGAAGAAUUUGCUCAUCUGUUAUCUGAUUUGCAGCAGUGCUUCAGUUAUCUAGUUGACAUGGCAGGUGCCUCCAGGAUUGGAAUGGCAGUGGACCUAUUGGAGGAAAAGGUUAACAACCUCCAGAAAUCUAGGCUAAAGGAAAAAGAACUGGAGAGAGUUUGGGAUACCCAACUAGAGACAAUGAAGAAUUACUACAUAGUGCUCGAUAGGGCAGUAGAAAAGAUCCAGACUCGCCUGGAUAACUUAAAGAUUCUCCAGGCUCAAAUCAAAUUCCUGGAGCAGAGCAAGGUGAAUAAAAGCACCAUGGAGCAGGAACUGAAAGAAAAAGCCAACAGAAGUGCACUGGCAGGCAAGGCCGGCAGGGCUGACCUGGAGACCGUGGCAAUGGAGCUGAACACCAUGAUCUAGGGCAUGCUGUUGAAGGUCUCAACCCAUGAGGAUGACUGGAAGAAGUCUGUAAAGCAGCUGAGGAAGGACAUGGGCACCAAGGUACAUACGCGGCUGUUUGAGCGAGUGAAGUGCAUCUCCUGCGACCGGCGGAUGGAGAUCAUGACUGGCCCACAGCUGAUCACCAUCCGCAGAGCCCACCUGUUGUCAAGACUGCGGCCAGCCAGUGCCAACAGCUAUGAGUACCUGCAGCAGCAGUAGAUGAGGGAACAUCAGCAGCUGCAGUUUCAGGAUCUCAGCAUCCCAGAAGAGCGCUUCAAGCCCCUGGGGUCCCACCAGGACUGGAGUGAUGGCCCCCGAAAUGAUGCCAGCCUCAAGCUCAAGUCAUGCAACCUGUCAACUCUUUAUCCUUAUGGGGAUCCCCAAGUGAUAGACUAUGACACUGCUGAGGUGGACAUCCUGGGAGUGGAUGGGAUCCUGUACAAAGGCCGAAUGAACAACCAGACUGGGACUCAACCCUUGGCCACUGGGAAGAAAGAGCCAGCAGCUGUGAAGAUUCCGUGUCCCCCAGGUCAAAAUCUGUGUGACCAUGUGCACUCUAGUGCCUUAGUUGGUGCCAUCUACCCCCGUGAGUACCUGUCCUCAGCCCCCUUGCCCACCCUGGUCCCUCCUAGUCCCAGCCCACUCCCCUCACCCUUCAGCCUGGGGGCUUGUUCAUGUCCCACCUCAGCCACCUCUCACACCUGUUCUGUCCACAUCCUAGCAGCCACUUGCCCACUUGCACUGUACCAGGGUUCUGGGGUGAUCCCUGAAGUAGCUCCUACUCAGCACCCUGCUUCAUGGCCAGGAAAGUGGCCCAGAGCCUCAGCUGUCCAGGCUCCUGCUUCACCUGCAGGGUUGCUUCCUGGUCCCAGGCACCGACCCAGAAGCCCAGGCCGGGUGUCUAUCCCCAAGUAGCCACCCAGCUACGAGGGUGAGACAAAGGAGCUCUCUUACUUCUCUUGGCAAGGGGCUCCAGAAUCCAUGCUAGGAGGAUCUGAGCCCCUGAAUUUCCCUGAUGUGAACUACCAGGUGUCAGGCAUUUAGGGGCACUUUUUGGUUUAUAGAGCACUUUCUCCCUCUGCUCGCUUCUGAUCCUUAACCCAACUCAAAGAAGUUAGUCCAUUCCAAAGAUGAGGGAGCUGGGAUGAGCAACCUGAGCCCCAAACCCCAAGCUAUGUGUCCUCCCAGGUGCUCUGCUUCACUUUGGCAUCCAUUUAUGGAGUCAUAAUUCUUGCCCCCCCGCCCCGAAGUUUAGGGUUCCCAGAGCCAGGAGGAGCAUGGUCACCAGCCCUAACGUGGCCCACAGCCCUAACAUGGCCCACAAAGCACCUCCAGUCUUGGUCUUCUCUUCCUCCAACAAGGAGGAACCCAUCAGGCCAGCAGCCUCUGGGAACAUCUUGAGAUAUAACACAGGUUUCUCCCUCCCUCCAGCCCUGGGCUCUUGCACCAGCAUCACCUCAACUGCCUCAGGCACUCCCACCAUCCCCUUGGCUCGGCUACCAUCUCUGCUGCCCCUGACGCUGCUGCCAGCACUCAUCCCAUCCCCAAGGGACCCACAGCAGGCCUCAGAGUUCACUAGGCACUUAAGAUCUCCACACCUUGAA